rnacentral:lncRNA from 1 species
UGAUAUAAUCAUACAAAAUUUAUGAAAAUUUGAGGCUAUAUUAUGAAUUAAAAAUUAAUUUUAUGAGAAUUUGUGUUUAACUUAUAUUUUAAUCUAGAGGUGAGGUUCAUAUAGGAACAUGUGUCGGCGCCUUUAUGAUAUAUUGUGGUUUGAUUAUGAAUUAUUUUGCUUUGAUUAUGAAUGAUUAUACUUAUUGUUAUGAAUUAAUGUGUUAAUUAUAUGAUUAUCUCUAUUUGAGAGUUGGAAACAUAUUUACAACAAUGGCCGAUUUGAAUUUGGAAAUUUCCAUGACACAUAUAGAUGGACAACUAUGGCCCAUUUGAAUUUGGAAAUUUCCAUGACACAUAUAAAUGGACAACUUUGGCCCGUUUGACAGCGUCACGAAAGAAUCAUAUUUUCAUACAUGUGAUAGAGGGUGGAACUAAGGGGCUUAUAUGUUGUGUGUGUGUGUAUAUAUGUGUGUGUGUCCAAACUUCUUUGUAGUCUAAUUUUUAAAUUGCAUAGUGCCGUUUUAUUUUGAUGAUCCAAACCGUUUAUAUGGUAGAUUUUAUCAUGAAAAUCAAUAUUAUAUAAAAAUCAUGUUGAUCGGAUACAAAUCAAUAUCAGUUCAGUCUAUUUAUAACUUAAUAAAUGAGUGAGACAUACAAAAAUAUACUCAUUUAUCUUGAUAUAAAUUAAUAUUGAUUGGCUAUUGAUUUGUAUCCGGUCAAUCUAAUUUUGGAUAUUAUUAAACUCCUCAAUGAAAUCUACAAUAUAAACGGGUUUGAUCAUCAAAAUUGGCCUAAAAUACUUGAGCUGCAUUGUGUAAUCCAAAAAAUGGACCGUAAAGAAGAAGUGCGAAUAUAUAUAUAUAUGCUUUCCUGGUAGAUGUUUACUUUAUAUUUUUUGUUUAUCUUUAAGUAACUACUAAUACUUCCAUUAAAUUGUCAGCUUUCCGUCCCUAUGAUUUCCUCUCAGACUCGGGAGUUUGGUACACUACAAGAGAAAUUGCUAUGAAAUUUAGUUCAAAUAAUAAUUCGACAAUUUUCAGGUUUGGAAAGAUCCUGGAAUGACUUUGUCACUUUGUGUACCAUGACAUUGAAAUAUGGAAUUAGACUUCUUCUUUUUAUAUUUGUUAAGGCCAAAUAGUUUUCUGAUGAAGAAUGGUAGUCUAUAAUGUAAUAUAGUUCUAGUGGUAUAGAUAUGAGAAAUACCUAUAUUUUUUGUUAAAAAUAUAUAGAAUAUUAUUCGGUAAAUAGUUACUUCUUUUAAUUUAGCCCACUAUGUAUUCUAAUUCUAUUUCGCCCCUAUAUGUGAUAAUCGUAUGGUCUAUACCCAUAUAUGCAAGGCUUAAAAAGAAUUGUCUCAGUCGUGGCUUAAUAUGACUAGCUAUUACUUAAACUAGAUAUUUUUCUGAGUCACUCUUGAUGUAUAAACUCGAACACUUAACCCCUUCAUGUAUUUUACUUUUGACACUUUACACCUGAAAUUCAUGAACAUUCUGUUAGGGUUUUGGAUGAAAAAAGUCGUGUGACCUGCAUACGAUAUUUUUAGUAAAAUUUAAUGAUGAAAAUACUCUUCUUUAUAGGGUUUUCAACAUCCAAACAUGACCUUAGGUGGGAAAGGAAUUAGGGUCCUCACUCAUGUUUCUCUCUUUCCAUUCUCUUUAUCUCUUCCCACAGUCUUUAUUUCUCUUUCCCUCUGGCCCUGUAGUCCAAAACCAAUUGCAACUUGGGGCUGCCGCCUUGGGUGGACGAGGAAAGGGAGAUAUGGGGAUGGUUGUGCGUGAUGGUUAUGGCAGGUUUGGUAAUGGUGGAGAGAGACAAAAUUACGGGUUGGAGGUCUUGUAGGGGAGGCGGUCGGCGUGGGUGUGGGGAUGUCGCUGUAUCACCGGUGAUGUUGAUUGACAGUUGGUGGUGCGACAAUCAUGCAUGGGUCUGUGAGAGAGAGAAAGAAUAAUUAGGUGUGGUUGGAGACAGAGUGAUUGAGGAAGACAUCAUAAGAGUAAAUUAACAGCGUCUGUUAACUACUGGCAUUAGAUGUAAUUGCGAUUUACAUAGUUUAAGGGAAUUAAAUGUCCAGAGUUUAUAUAUUUGAGGUAACUCAAAAAAGGGUCUGUGUUAGCACCACACGGAAUGUGAAGAAACAACAGUUACUGGUAAGAAUUAAAAAAUACUGGUUGUCAACAGACACCAGUUACUAUGUAAUAAUUGGGGUGUUAGAAUUGUAGUGAAUACCCCAGAAUUGUAGUGAAUACCCCAGCAAUGGGCCAUAACAUUUUUGUUAAAGCUAAUGCGUUUUUAUAUCUUAUAAAUUAUGUUGGAACUUGGAGUGCUUACAAGUCAAAAAACAUAAUUAAAAAAUUAAAAAAUAUUAAUUUUUGAGAAUUUUCAUUUUGAUACAUUUAUGUAAUCAGAUUUUAAUAUAAGUUCAAUUGCAACCAACACCAACGAUUAGUUCAUUUAAUUCUACUCUCAAUCCGUUGAACAUUUUAUAGGCCAUACCCAAUUUAGAUAUAUUG